UGAGGAAUAUUGGUCAAUGGACGCAAGUCUGAACCAGCCAUGCCGCGUGAAGGAUGAAGGCCUUCUGGGUUGUAAACUUCUUUUAUUGGGGAAGAAAAUUACGGUUUCUACUGUAACCGACGGUACCCAAGGAAUCAGCACCGGCUAACUCCGUGCCAGCAGCCGCGGUAAUACGGAGGGUGCAAGCGUUAUCCGGAUUCACUGGGUUUAAAGGGUGUGUAGGCGGGCUAUUAAGUCAGUGGUGAAAUCUCAGGGCUCAACCCUGAAACUGCCAUUGAUACUAUUAGUCUUGAAUAUCGUUGAGGUUGGCGGAAUAUAUCAUGUAGCGGUGAAAUGCAUAGAUAUGAUAUAGAACACCGAUUGCGAAGGCAGCUAACUAAGCGAUGAUUGACGCUGAGGCACGAAAGCGUGGGGAUCAAACAGG
rnacentral:rRNA from 1 species